rnacentral:rRNA from 1 species
UACGUAGGGGGCAAGCGUUGUCCGGAUUUAUUGGGCGUAAAGCGCUCGCAGGUGGUUCGUCGCGUCGUGCGUGAAAGACCCCGGCUCAACUGGGGGAGGUCGUGCGAUACGGGCGAACUGGAGGCCAGUAGGGGGAUGGAAUCCGCGUGUAGCAGUGAAAUGCGUAGAUAUGCGGAGGAACACCGAUGGCGAAGGCAAUCCCCUGGGCCUGCACUGACGCUCAUGCACGAAAGCGUGGGGAGCAAACAGG